rnacentral:rRNA from 1 species
GAUCAUGGCUCAGGAUGAACGCUGGCGGCGUGCUUAACACAUGCAAGUCGAACGGGAAAUACUUUAUUGAAACUUCGGUCGAUUUAAUCUAUUUCUAGUGGCGGACGGGUGAGUAACGCGUGGGUAACCUGCCUUAUACUGGGGGAUAACAGCCAGAAAUGACUGCUAAUACCGCAUAAGCGCACGGGGCCGCAUGGUCCUGUGUGAAAAACUCCGGUGGUAUAAGAUGGACCCGCGUUGGAUUAGCUAGUUGG